CGUGGGGGCUUGCUGCUUCGCUGACGAGUGGCGGACGGGUGAGUAAUGUCUGGGAAACUGCCCGAUGGAGGGGGAUAACUACUGGAAACGGUAGCUAAUACCGCAUAAUGUCGCAAGACCAAAGAGGGGGACCUUCGGGCCUCUUGCCAUCGGAUGUGCCCAGAUGGGAUUAGCUUGUUGGUGAGGUAACGGCUCACCAAGGCGACGAUCCCUAGCUGGUCUGAGAGGAUGACCAGCCACACUGGAACUGAGACACGGUCCAGACUCCUACGGGAGGCAGCAGUGGGGAAUAUUGCACAAUGGGCGCAAGCCUGAUGCAGCCAUGCCGCGUGUAUGAAGAAGGCCUUCGGGUUGUAAAGUACUUUCAGCGGGGAGGAAGGGGUUAAGGUUAAUAACCUUAGCCAUUGACGUUACCCGCAGAAGAAGCACCGGCUAACUCCGUGCCAGCAGCCGCGGUAAUACGGAGGGUGCAAGCGUUAAUCGGAAUUACUGGGCGUAAAGCGCACGCAGGCGGUCUGUCAAGUCGGAUGUGAAAUCCCCGGGCUCAACCUGGGAACUGCAUUCGAAACUGGCAGGCUUGAGUCUCGUAGAGGGGGGUAGAAUUCCAGGUGUAGCGGUGAAAUGCGUAGAGAUCUGGAGGAAUACCGGUGGCGAAGGCGGCCCCCUGGACGAAGACUGACGCUCAGGUGCGAAAGCGUGGGGAGCAAACAGGAUUAGAUACCCUGGUAGUCCACGCCGUAAACGAUGUCUAUUUGGAGGUUGUGCCCUUGAGGCGUGGCUUCCGGAGCUAACGCGUUAAAUAGACCGCCUGGGGAGUACGGCCGCAAGGUUAAAACUCAAAUGAAUUGACGGGGGCCCGCACAAGCGGUGGAGCAUGUGGUUUAAUUCGAUGCAACGCGAAGAACCUUACCUGGUCUUGACAUCCACAGAACUUGGCAGAGAUGCCUUGGUGCCUUCGGGAACUGUGAGACAGGUGCUGCAUGGCUGUCGUCAGCUCGUGUUGUGAAAUGUUGGGUUAAGUCCCGCAACGAGCGCAACCCUUAUCCUUUGUUGCCAGCGGUCCGGCCGGGAACUCAAAGGAGACUGCCAGU
rnacentral:rRNA from 1 species